rnacentral:rRNA from 2 species
UUAGAGUUUGAUCCUGGCUCAGGAUGAACGCUGGCGGCGUGCUUAACACAUGCAAGUCGAACGAGGUAAGUAUUGGAAAGUCUUCGGACCGGAAGAUACUUGCCGAGUGGCGGACGGGUGAGUAACGCGUGGGUAACCUGCCUCAUACAGGGGGAUAACAGUCAGAAAUGGCUGCUAAUACCGCAUAAGCGCACAGUGUCACAUGACACGGUGUGAAAAACUCCGGUGGUAUGAGAUGGACCCGCGUCUGAUUAGCUAGUUGGUAAGGUAAUGGCUUACCAAGGCGACGAUCAGUAGCCGACCUGAGAGGGUGACCGGCCACAUUGGGACUGAGACACGGCCCAAACUCCUACGGGAGGCAGCAGUGGGGAAUAUUGCACAAUGGGGGAAACCCUGAUGCAGCGACGCCGCGUGAGUGAUGAAGUAUUUCGGUAUGUAAAGCUCUAUCAGCAAGGAAGAAAAAAGACGGUACUUGACUAAGAAGCCCCGGCUAACUACGUGCCAGCAGCCGCGGUAAUACGUAGGGGGCAAGCGUUAUCCGGAUUUACUGGGUGUAAAGGGAGCGUAGACGGCAUGGCAAGUCAGAA